GAUAUCGCAUUUCAAAUAUGACUGCCCUCAGAAGAGUUUAAAUUAUGCAGAAAUUGAAUAAGACAAGAUUAGGGUCUUUGCUUGAAAAGCCAAAUUUGAAUUUGCUCUCUUGGAUUAGGAAGAUCGCACCGCGCUAUUUCCCACAUGAAUGAUGCAAAAUUAUGAAGUUCGUGCCUUUGAAAGUAAAAAAACAACAAAGUCUCAACUGCUAUCAAGUUCUGUAAGAUCACUCUGACGAUGCCGAUGACACCAGUGCAACCAUCUAUAUAAGUCAUUGCUGUCAUCGAUACUCAUUCAAUCGAACCACCACUGCCCCCUGCCAAGCUAGACGAUCCUCAAUUCAACCUCUCAAUUGAAAUCUUCAACAACCAAAUCCCGGGGUCUUCAAUUCUCCACUCAUUUCAACUCAAUCUCUCAAUCGGAGUACCUCUCUCAGUUCAAUCGACCAAUUGCUUCACUCUCUCGUCUUUUCAAAUUUUUUUGAGCUCCCAAAAAGUUCAAUUUCGGAUUGAAUAAUAAAAAAUAAAGAUCCUUUGUUUUCCCCUUUGUAGGUCAUUUUAUUUUUUGCAAUUACCAACUCAUGGAGUUUCUAAUUUAAGUUUUGCUCUCUUAGUUGCAAGCCGAGAUGGCAGUGAGUUGUGUUGGGUUGAGCUACACUAGCUCCAACGCAACCAACCGUGCCGAAGAGUUGUGUCAGACCUAGGCCUAUCAAUUGAUGGGUCUAGCAAAUCAGACCGAUCAUAUCGAGCUGACCCAAAAGCCUUACCCCAAGGUUCUGACAUGGCCCGGAGGCCUAGCAUGGCAUGUCUCGACCCUCUUGAAAUGUCUAGCUCUAAGGUAAUACAAUUGAUCUCAGUUGAAUGUCUUAUAUUUUUGUGAUAUUUGUUAAUUUUCCAAAACAGAAUAACAUAUGUAAGGGGAAAACAUUAGGUUUUGUAUAAAGCACUCAAAAGGGAAGAUAUGUUUGUGAAAGUGGGAAAGAAGAAGAUGUUGGCCUCUAUGGUGAUGAGAGAGUUUAUGAUCAUUGGGAAGACGAAGAUGAAGAAGCUUGAGACCCGCAGUGAGAGGAGAGAAAUAAGAAAGCAAAAAUGACAAAGCCAAUGAGAGAAGAAAAACUAAAGAAAAAGAAGAUAACAAAAACUUUAAUUCAAUGAUAUAAUUAUAAUUAAUAUUUAAAACCAAAUAGGAAAAAAAUACCUUAAUACUCUUUUGCAAUCAAAUAUAAAAUUAAAAAAAAUUAACUUUAUUAUUUUUCAAUUUUAAGAGUGACAAUUACCGUUAUGACAUUGUUCAGGUGAGAAACAGUAAUUCUCCCCGUUGUUAAGCAAAAUAUUUAUUUUUUUCUAUUGUUGUACUUGGGUCUUUUGAAUGAAGUAGAUCAUGCCAAAUUAAUUGUUCA